AAUAGGAAAAUGAUAAAUUAAAUUUUUCCUCUUGUUUUUCAGCCUUUCCUCCCUGAAAAAUUUAAAUCUAACUAAAAAUGCUAAAAAUCAGGAGAAAACAGCUGAUUUAUCAUUCUCUUAUU
rnacentral:pre_miRNA from 1 species